AGCGAACGCUGGCGGCAGGCCUAACACAUGCAAGUCGAACGGUAGCACAGAGAGCUUGCUCUCGGGUGACGAGUGGCGGACGGGUGAGUAAUGUCUGGGAAACUGCCUGAUGGAGGGGGAUAACUACUGGAAACGGUAGCUAAUACCGCAUGAUGUCGCAAGACCAAAGAGGGGGACCUUCGGGCCUCUUGCCAUCGGAUGUGCCCAGAUGGGAUUAGCUAGUAGGUGGGGUAACGGCACACCUAGGCGACGCUCACUAGCUGGUCUGAGAGGGUGACCGGCCAACCUGGGACGGAGACAAGGCCCAGACUCCUACGGGAGGCAGCAGUGGGGAAUUUUGGCCAAUGGGGGCAAGCCUGAUGCAGCAAUGCCGCGUGUAUGAAGAAGGUCUUCGGGUUGUAAAGUACUUUCAGCGGGGAGGAAGGGGUGGAGUUUAAUACGGUAGAUCAUUGACGUUACCCGAUGAAGAAGCCCCGGCUAACUCCGUGCCAGCAGCCGCCGUAAUAC
rnacentral:rRNA from 1 species